rnacentral:tRNA from 1 species
AUUUAUAUAAUAUAAAUUUAUAUUAUAUUUGGCUUCCAACCAAAAAAUCUAUUUUUAGUAUAAAUA